GAUGAACGCUGGCGGCGUGCCUAACACAUGCAAGUCGAACGAUGAAGCCCAGCUUGCUGGGUGGUACGGGGGGGAAGGGGCGGGUAACACGUGAAUAACCUGCCCUUAACUUUUUGAUAGGCCUGAGCAACGGGGACUAAUACCGGAUACGGGCGUCCACCGCCGGGUGGGAGCUGGAAAGAUUUGUCGGUUUUGGCUGGACUCGCGGCCUAUCAGCUUGUUGGUGUGGGAGUGGCUAAGCAAGGCGACGGCGGGUAGCCGGCGCGAGAGCGUGACCGGCCACCAUGGGCCUGCGACACGCCGCAGACUCCUACGGGGGGCAGCGGUCGGAAAUAUUGUCCAGUGGGCCCGCGCCUGUUGCAGCGGCGCCGGGUUUGGGAUGCCGGCCUUCGGGUUAUAAACCUCUUUCGGUAGGGAAGCAGCGGAUGUGACGGUACCUGCAGAAGAAGCACCGGCUAACUACGUG
rnacentral:rRNA from 1 species